GGGGAACUCACAGUCACAGAACUUACCCAAUGCAUCACAGGGCGCUCCUCGGUGCAGACGCCCAUGUGCGUCUUUUGGGAUGACACGAGGUCUAUUUCCAAGGAUGAGGUCAGUCGGGCGUCUUAUGUUUACGAAUCAAGGUAAUUUAAGGAACAUUAGGAUCACACAUAAGCACAACGGAACAUUCACUGAAACACUUGACUCUGCAGCAGGUAGGAUGAUGGAGAUGAUUAGGUGUCCUCACUGUCCAAACGUACUGUCCAAAACGUAAACCGAUAUGAGCCGAUUUUGGACGGCGAAAAAGAGCGGACAGCGGCAAGCGACUGAAAAUGACACCGGUUGCAACGCCAGCGGCAGAGCAGGCAGAGAUCCCAAUAAAUUUAUUAUGCCAUUAAUUUAUGAGUCUGCACUCAGAUCCAAAUUGAGUGGUAUUAUUCUACUAUUUUAGGGUCGGCAUGCUGCAUCAGUCUGGCUAUUCGGACCUUUCCCAGGGUAUUCUAUGGCAAUCCGAGAUACUUGCUACUGAUAAGGCUUACGAGGAGGUUUCGGCAACGAUCGUCAACUCCUUUGAGGCGGUUGUCGCCGCCGACUGAUAGCUCAAUCCAAGUCCGCCGGUACGCUCCAAUAGUCGCGGACGAAUUCACACAAUUAAGUCACAGACGCCCAAGCCUGGGGCUGCUCUUGCUGUUCACGUAUUGCCGCUCACGUAUUUAUAUGUACGACCCGAACUCGACUUCACUCGCAUUCAAUCCGCACCGGUCUGCUGAGACACGCGAAGACAACCACUCGGCAAAGCUGCGUAACUGGGAAUGUUUGAAUGUUUGCCAGAACCCGACCUAAGCGCCAGCAGCCGAUACGUAAACCCUCCCCGUGGGCGCGUUUGUAUUCGUGUUUGUGUAUGCGCACACCUUUGGAACUGUGACUCUUGCUGCCCCGUUCCUACUCGCACUGGGGCGCGGGUGCUCUCUCUGUGGCAAAUGGCGGCGUUCUCAGCUGAUUGUGCCUGUAUGCUGUGCUCGCUCUGACGCACAGUUACUGGCGCAAGAGGGCGUGGUAUUACUCCCCCACCCACUCUCCUAACACGGAGGGGAUUGGGUACGAUGGCUGCUGCCAAAGAUGAAUAAUGCAACGGCAGCACUCAACAGAAACAGAAGCAAAGCGGCAAAUGUGGAUAAGCAGCGGCGGAGGUGGUGGUCGGUAUUUUUGGAUGGAAUAGAAAUGGAAAUGGAUCUGGACUUGGAGUCGGAUCUUGAGCCCGUGACAGAAAUUUUGCACCGCUAAGAUAUGUUCCUAUAAAAGAAUUCGAACUAAAUCUUCAUCAUACCAGUACAAUUCAAUGAGGAACUGCAAGACUAAAGAAUAACAAGCUUCAGGACCAGCCGAAUAAAUGCAGAAAUGUUGCCCAUUCGCAUCGACUUGCUUAGUGACGUUCAGGUAGCCAUUCCUGCAGCGUCAGUGGCAGCAGCAGCAACAGCAGUAACUACAACAAUGGCGUUGACUUACACCAUCCGCAUCAAGGCAGCUACAUGAGUCCUACGCAAAAGCAACCAAUCUACAAAGCCUAACGAAAUACCUGCAGCGGCGGAAAGGGAAGACAGAGACAGCUCAGGCCGGGACUCUUGAUUUUGAAGGCAGCUUAGCAAUUGGAUGCUGGAAACGUUGAGUCGCGUUGUCCGCAGUGCCCCUUGCAAAGAUAGCAAAUGAUAAGGCCCAAAGAGCGUGCACAACAAAAAAUGUGAGUCCCAGGCCUGAUUUGUUUAAAAACUUUGAAGCUGAAAACUCAAAAUUUAAAGGACAAAUCAUACAUAUUAUAUAUUAUAUAUUAUGACACCCAAAAUAUUAUCAGAUAAUAUUAUUUAGUUUCAAAUACAAAGGAAUCUUAACAGAUGCCAGGUUAUAUCUGUAACACACAUAUGCCUGUAAGCAUGAAAUAUAUUU